rnacentral:rRNA from 1 species
AUUGAACGCUGGCGGCAGGCCUAACACAUUAAAGUCGAGCGAGCGGCGGACGGGUGAGUAAUGUAUGGGGACUGCCCGAUAGAGGGGGAUAACUACUGGAAACGGUAGCUACUACUGCAUACUAUCGGAUAACCCAUAUGGGAUUAGCUUGUAGGUGAGGUAGUGGCUCACAUAGGCGACGAUCCCUAGCUGGUCUGAGAGGAUGAUCAGCCACACUGGGACUGAGACACGGCCCAGACGCCUACGGAGGCAGCAGUGGGGAAUAUUGCACAAUGGGCGCAAGCCUGAUGCAGCCAUGCCGCGUGUAUGAAGAAGGCCUUAGGGUUGUAAAGUACUUUCAGUCGGGAGGCGUUACCGACAGAAGAAGCACCGGCUAACUCCGUGCCAGCAGCCGCGGUAAUUC